rnacentral:rRNA from 1 species
CACGUAGGGCGCAAGCGUUGUCCGGAAUUAUUGGGCGUAAAGAGCUCGUAGGCGGUCUGUUGCGUCCGCUGUGAAAACUCGGGGCUUAACCCCGAGCCUGCAGUGGAUAUGGGCAGACUAGAGGUAGGUAGGGGAGAAUGGAAUUCCCGGUGUAGCGGUGAAAUGCGCAGAUAUCGGGAGGAACACCGGUGGCGAAGGCGGUUCUCUGGGCCUUACCUGACGCUGAGGAGCGAAAGCGUGGGGAGCGAACAGG